GCGCCAGAUAGCCCAGUUGGUAGAGCAAAAAGCCCUUAAUAUCAGGGUUGUGGGUUCAAGCCCCAUGUUGGGUG